rnacentral:rRNA from 1 species
GAGUUUGAUCGUGGCUCAGAUUGAACGCUGGCGGCAUGCCUUACACAUGCAAGUCGAACGGUAACAGGUCUUCGGAUGCUGACGAGUGGCGAACGGGUGAGUAAUACAUCGGACGUGCCCGAUCGUGGGGGAGUAACGGAGCGAAGACUUUGUCUAUACCGCAUACGAUCUACGAGUGAAGACGAGGGGACCGGCCGAACGGACCGUUCGUCGCGGGACGGGACGGCGGGCCGGACGUGGCGAGAGUUAGGUUAGGUUUGGGUUGGGGUAGUAAAAGUAACUUACCUAACGACCGACCGA